CAGGUCGCUCUGCAGGUCGCCAUUCUCCACCAUAGGCCCUUCCUCCAUGGCGUUGGCGACCGGCGGUUGGAGCUCUGGCUCCACCCUAAGAAGAUUGAGAGCAUGGAGCUCUACAGGUCGUUGUUCCCCACCAUGGGCGCCUCCUCCACUGCAUCAAGCUUGCCUUGUGUCGCCCGGGCUAUCCCCAUUUUUUGUUGUAUAAGCUAAUAAUUGCAAUCUUGCCUGUUAACCCAACAGCUAUUGAAUAUUAUGAGCUAAGGAUAUUUCAUCCCAUCCCUAGAAUCCUUGGAACCAAACAAAACAAGGGAUCAACUAAUUGGGACCAUCCCCAUCCACAUAAUCCAUCUCAUCCCGUCCCAUACACGUUUGUCCACCAACCAAACGCAUAACGCCAUGGUGGGCAGGGAUGCGGCCGUGUUCACAUGUGCAUGCUGAAAAGUGGGGUCCUUCUCUGUACCUCCUUUCUUCUUUUUUUAUUUGUCUAGUUUCUUGUAGUUAUCUUUGUUCCUAGAGAAAAGUUGCCAGCUCUGCCAAGAUUCCCCCAAUUGAAUCAAGGAAUUAGGUAGAAGAUGGACGUGGAUGGAAGAUGAAGAAAGUAGAUUGGAUCCAAAGAAAUGGAGGUGGAGAGUACGAACUUAAGGCUGGAGAGGCUGAGGCUGCUGGCUUCGUCAGAGAUUGGCAUGGGUUAACCAGGAUUUACUGAGAGCAGCGAGGCAGAUGCAUGCCAACAUGCUGAAGCCUCACCCUCUCCUAUCCAUCAAGCCUCGCUGGGUGAGACUGAGAUAUGAAUGCUGCUUUUUACAAUGGAUUUGGCUGAUUUGAUUAGCAGUAACGGGACCCUUGCUUGUUUGAUUCUACCAUUUACAGUUAUUUCUUUGUCUGAUUUGAUUAGCAGUACGCAUUGGAUUUUACAGUUGGUUUGAUUCUACCAUUUCUUUCUGGUAGCCAUUUGUAGUAGCCAUUUGUAUUGUUCUUUCGGGUAUCGAUCCAAGAUGGACAUGGAUGAGCGGGGCCGGGGCUUUGCUGAAAGUGGCGAGGUGGAGGCCAACAAUGGCAAUCGCCAGCAGUAUCUAGCCGGUCGGUUGUCCACGCGCGCCUCGUUGACUUCGGCCCGGCCAUCAAAGAACCAGCUCGACCAUGCCUCGCAAUGGAUAAUCUCGUCAACGAAUCAGCUACCACGAAGCUGCUGUCUCCCUCCAAUACUUUGGUUCCCUCAUCUUGCCCACCUUUUUCGUUUCUCUCUAGCUCCUCUAUUGGUAUGUACUGUAUUGUAGAUCCAAAUCUGGUUUGUGGUCUAUAUCUCCACGACCCCACGCCGUGUAUAUUUGUGAGGUUGGAUGGGAAUGAGAUUUCAGACCAUACUUCAAUCUUAAAAUCUAUGAUCCA